AUUUAUACAUAAAUAAUAAUUUCUCUGAAGGAAAAACCCCACAUUCGUAUCUGAAUUUGGAGAGCUCUCGCUUUUCUCAGCUGCAGAACUCAAUCUUUUAUCUUUCUUUGAGGAAGAAAGCUUACGAUUACAACAUGAUCAUUCGAUAUGGGUUUUUUCUCUGGUGAUUAAUGUAGUAGAAGGAGCUGAAUCUGAGAUAUGGUUGUGGCUGCGGUGGCUUUGAUUUUGGGUGUCCUAUUGGGAGGUUUUAUUUUGAUUCCUCGACACCUGAAAUCUGGUUUUUUUUUUUCCCCCUUUCCUCUGUUUCCUGCCUAUUUCUUUUCAAUGUAUUCCCAAUUUGUAGCUAAAUUUUCAGAUAGACAGAGACUCAGUAGAUGCUUUUGAUAUGUUUUGAUGGGUAAAUCAUAAAUGUUUGCUCAAUGCAGCUCAAAGACAAAAGGUGAACUCCAGUGUUAGCGAGAAGAAGGUGAGUGUAAUACUAGGAACUUCAAGGCAUUCCUAAAAGGGUGUUAUGCUUUUGAAAUUCCAGUGGUUAACUUUCAUUGCAUUCUCAACUUUCAUUGAGUUUUGAACAGCUCAAUGGCUUUCUGGUGCCCUUUGCUUUCAUAGCUUUGGAAUCAGCUUUUCCUUCAAUAA